AGAAAUGAUCCAAAAGGUGCAGCCAUGUAGGACUGGGCAUGUGGAAAAUAGUGCAAACCUGAAUCAAGCAACCUAAUGCAACUGCAAAUGUGUUUUGAAGGAAGACUACAUCACUUGCAGCCUUGGGAAAGAAACAGCCGUGAAUAUUUAACAAGAGAUAUAAAAAUACAAGGAAAUGAAGACGGAUGUAAGAAGUGCUCUAGCAACCAUUUGUGCUUCAUCUGGAUUUCCCAUAAAACCAAGGGGUUCCAUCUUUUUGCUCAUGGAAUGGCUUGGGUUGGAAGGAAUCUCAAGAAUCAUCAAGUUCCAAGCACCCCUGCUACAGGCAGGGUUUCCAACCGCUUGAUCAAGUAGAAGACCAGGCUGCCCAGGACCCCAUUCAACCUGGCCUUGAACACCUCCAGGAAUGGGGCAUCCACAACCCCUCUGGGCAGACUGUUCCAGCACCUCACCACUCUCUAAGUGAAAAACUUUCCCCUGAUAUCUUAUCUAAAUAUUCCCUCCUUUCAUUUAAAACCACCAUUCCCUUUUGUCCUAUCACUAUCUACCUGUGUAAAAAGUUGGUUUACCUCCCUUUUAUAAAUUCCCUUUUAUUAUUCAAAGGUUGCAAUGAGGUCUCCCUGCAGACUUCUCUUUUCCAGGCUGAACAACCCCAGUUCCUUCAGUCUGUCUUCAUAGGAGAGGUGCUCCAGCCCUCUCUUCAGCUUUGUGGCCCUCCUCUGGACCCUCUCCAACAGCUCCAUAUCUUACCUGUGUUGGGGGCCCCAGACCUUGUCACAGUACCCCAGAUGGGCUCUCAUGAGGACAGAGGAGAGAGAGAGAAUCACCUCCCUUGCCCUGCUGUCCACCCCUCUUCUGAUGGAGCCCAGGAUACCAUUGGCCUUGCAGGCUGCAAGUGCACUCUACUGGCUGAAGUUAAGUUUUUCAUCUACCAGGACCACUAAGUCCUUCUUGUCAGGGCUACUCUCAAGGAAUUCUUCUCUCAGUGUGUAUGCAGGAUUACCACAACCCAAGUGCAAAAUGUUGCACUUUACUUUGUUGAAUAUCAUAAAUGAACUCAUAAAUGCAGGAUGCGAUUCUCAAAUAUCCAGUGAAAAAUUGACGUACCUGCUUAUUUUUGAGAUGAAGAGUAUAAAAGUACUUUAUCUCAGACAAGCUUCAGGUUCAAAUGCAAGCAUCUGAGUGAGGGUGGGAGAGAUAGCAAUGGGAUUGUUUCAUCAUUUCUUUGUGCUUUCAUGUUUCACUGAAAAUGGGAAUCAUAUGGCUCUGUUAAUAUCACUUGAACAGUAUAUUAACUAUAAAACAGCUGCUCAUUAUGGUAAUAAGGAAAGUAGUCAGUCAUUACUACUUUUUUUUUUUUUUUUAACUUCCUGUAAUUUUCUUCUGUUGAUAGAAAUUUGUAUGCAGCAGUGAAAAGACCUAACUUUACAGAUACCUAGCAAACUGACCAUGGAUUCAAGUGUAAGAAAGCAUCUUAUAUCAGUAAAAAUGCUAUGGCUCUUUUCAUUUUACAUAAUUUUCUCUAAUUUGUAGAAUAGCGUUAAUUUUUUUAUACUAUACGUCAUUAGAAAAGUACUUAGCCAUCCCUUUUGUCUAACUCUUUGCUUGAACUUUCAAAGAGACAUCCAUUCUUUGUAUAACAAAUAUUUACUGAACACCAAAAAUAUUUUAUACAGCACUUGGGAUACUAUGAAAAGCUUUUAAGCAAAACUAGUCUGGUAAAUUUCUAGUAGCAUUUUGUCUCCCCGUGUACCUGCAAGAAUACUAUUUUCUCUUUACUAUUUCAUUCUUCAGAAAAAAAAAAAAAUCCUCUUGUCAGCCAGCAUAAUUUAGAAAUUUAAACUACCUCAAUUAAAUGGGAGCAUAUAUUUGUUGCAUUGCACAACAGAAAAGCUACAAAUUGUGCAUCGCACGCAGCUAAGGAAAACACUCUGAAUGUACAUGACAAGUGUCUUAUAUCUCACCUGUUCCACCCUUUAAAAUCCUCAGUGAACAGAAAAAUUGUUUUAUCCCAGCACACAACUUGCUAGAACAUAAUUGUUGAAGUCAUAGUUAUUAAAAAUAUAAUGUUAUGCCAAGUACUCAAAAUUACCAUAUCUGUAAAUCAUAUAACAUAUAGGGAAAGCAGCUUAUCUUCAUCCAUUUUCUCUGCUUCUUUAUCCUGUAUUUAGAAUGCUAAUA
ensembl:lncRNA